UUCUGGAGCCAAAUACCCAAAUGUUCCAAUGACUCUUGUUUCUACACCUGUAUCUCCAUCAGGCUGCCACCUUGCGAGACCAAAAUCCCCAACCAGUGGUUCAAAAUCAUGGGUAAUGAGGAUAUUGUUUGGCCGCAUGUCACGGUGGACUAUGCAACCUACUCUGCAUUCUUCAUGAAGAUAGCGCAAUCCUCUAGCAGCUCCCACUGCAACCUUCUGGCGUGCAGACCACUCCAAUGGCUCCUGAUGACGCCCAUAAAGAUGAGAAUCAAGUGACCCGUUGCAUAUAUAUUCGUACACCAGCAACCUCCGUUUGUCUUCAAUGCAGAAUCCAAUCAGCAUAACAACAUUCCGAUGCUGAGCACAGCUAAGGACUUCAACUUCUGAGCAAAAUUCAAGAUCCCCCUGUGAACUAGCCAAUUUGUGUUGCUUGACAGCAACUGCCUGGCCAUCUGGCAAUACACCCCUGUGAACAGAUCCAAACCCACCCUCUGCCAAGAAAUUAGCUUGAGAAAAUCCACCAGUUGCAAGCUCCAACUCAGCAUAGCUGAACCACCUUGGUGGUUUUCCAAACACAGGCGCCUUGUGUUGGCAUAUUGAGCACAAAGGAGGGGGUCCAGGAGGCGCAUUUCUGGAUAAUGCUGCUGCUUCUCUCACAUUUCCGCUUAAGUCUAAAUCCUUCCUGUAGUCGGAUGUUGCUCCGAUUUGUCUAUCAAGUUUUGAAAACUUCUCUAGCAAAGCUUUAGUUGUUGAUUCUUGAGCCAUACUAAUACUUCUCUGUGAGCCUUCCUCCAUAUGUCGUGACAAUUGAAUGUGAGAACUAAUGAAUUCUCCUAUCCAUGGUUCAAACCUCAAACUUGCGGAAGCUGAUGAUAAAUGUUCACUAUCUGUGUCAGAACUAGAUUCAUCAACAUCCCUAUUUUCCUUAAUGAUUAAUGAUUCCUCUUUCUUCAGGUCUCCAUUUGUUUCCGAGGGAAAAAAUGGAGAAGUUCCAGGAUCACUCGACACUGAUGAUGUUCCAGCUUCAGUGGCAGUAAAUGGUGUCCCUAGCUCUGGACUGCUUGUUGGAGUCACAACCGGUCCUCGAAUUGAAUCUGAAGAAUCAUUUUUAUUUUUUUUGUGUUCCUCAGAGGCUUCAUCUAGUUCAGAAGGCAAUUGAUCUGCACUUUCAGCUUCCUUGGAUGAUCCAACCAAAUUUAAGCGAAGAACCUUUGGCUGGGAACGUUUCAUAACAACUAUGUUGCAUUGUAGUUCUUCCAUACAGCGUUUUUCCUCGUACUUUAGCUGUUUGUCUAAUACAACCCAAUUGGCUAGUGCCUUCUUCGCUUCUGCAGCCACUGCACCACAAGGUGAUCCAGAAACAAUCUUUAUCUUCACAUUGAUCUGCAAAAAUAAAUCACGAUAGCAAACUCAGCACUGGUGUGCGAGGCAUUAGAACACAUAUUGAUGCACUCACCUUGUUUGGAUCAUAAACAUCAUGAAGCUGAAGGAUCAUCUGGGAGCAUGAAUCUGUAAUAUCGCACUUCUGCUCUGAGGUUGCUCCUGAAUGAGACUUCCGGUGACCACUGGCACAAUCCCCUGCAAAUCUAGGGAAACCCCAUAACUUUCGACCUAAGAAUGGCAGUAACAAAUUGUCAGUAUCAUAUUUAUCAACGAAGUACGAUGGAAAAACAAAAAUGGUGCCACUGAAUUUUAUAGAUUUCAAAAGAACCAUAAAUUAUACACAACGGGGCUCAAAAUUUUCAAAGACAGUCAGGAUACCAGUACUACCAAGAAAAGUAAAUACUUAUGGCCAAAAACGGUCAAUACAUUGCAACACUUCACCUUUCCAAGAUACCUUCUGGAAAGGGAAAAGAUCAGUGAAGUUUCCUUGCUGUUUACUAGAAGGUACCUUGCCUGGUACCAUCUGAAAGUACUCAUAAAAAAAAAAUGAUGAAUGAAAUUGAAGCAGGACUGGGAUAUGGCAAAAGUGACCAAUAUUAAGAAAAGUGCACUCAAUCAAAAUUUACUACUCAAAAUUUGACAAGCAAAGAAGCAAAAUAAACAAGAGGAACCUGAACUCUGUGAAGGAACAACAACAAGCAGAGUAAUGCAGUCCCCAGCAUGCACGACGUGAGUCAAAGCCCACACCAAGGCAGUCUUAGGAAUUUCCUUGGAUGCCUUAACCGCAACUACAACUUUCUCGGCGACAUCAGAGCCGCCCUUCUCUUGCUUUCCUCUCUUUUGCUCUCUACUCAUUGCUACCACCACAAAAUGCAUAAAAAAACCAACUUGUUCCUUAAAUAGAUCAAAGUGUCAAAAACCCAUCAAGCCCCUAUGGUUAUGCAGGCAAGAAACAGAAGCCGUAAAACAUUUUAUGCAUUAUUGCUCUGCCCCCACCGUGUUGGUUCCAAAGACACGUACAACAGACAACAAAACCAUACCCCUUCCAGUCAUUGCAGAAGCAGACACACCUUCAUUGACAAGACCAUUUUCACCACUUCACCUAUAUUCCUCGAGUAUUCCUCACAAAAAACAAACCCAUUUCACAAGUUGUCACUCUUUUCUUGCUUUCUUGAUCCGUAGAUAGUACCCAGAAAUCUUGAGGAUCUAGAUAUCCUUUUGGCGCAAAAAGCAAGAAGCUGAUUCCGUUGGCACAAGUUUGACAAAAACUUGCUCUCUCACUAAACUUUACAGAGAGAAUCAGCAACACUAUUUGACAAAAUGGGAAAGGACACAUCACCCAAACAAGACCUCAUUAUCUGUCACAAACCAGCAUUGCUUUUUGAGCCUUCAAAUCAGUGAGUCAAAAUGGUGAAAGAAACAGCUCCAAAAGGUGAAAAAUAUGCGGUGAUUCUUCGGAUCCCAGAUGAGAAAUGUCGAUUGUAGAUUCUCUUUUUUUCUUGUUAACCCAUAGAACCAACAAUAUCAUGCACAAAACACUGCAAACAUUGAAGCUUUUGCGCUGAUUGAUUUGACUGUGGAACCUGCCUUUCGAAACCUCAAAAUUGAACUCUACUAAGCACUCAUAAGCCCAUAAAAGCCAUCCCUCUGCUUAAAUUUGAAGCAAGUUACAAACAGAAGAAGCAAUCAAUCAAUCAAUUUCUCUUCAAUUUUCUAGAGAUGAGAACAAAAUCCUCUUCUUAUAAAAGUCACUUCCCUGUCUCUCC
rnacentral:misc_RNA from 1 species